rnacentral:rRNA from 1 species
GACGAACGCUGGCGGCGUGCUUAACACAUGCAAGUCGAACGGUGAUGGGUGGAGCUUGCUCUGCUUUGAUCAGUGGCGAACGGGUGAGUAACACGUGAGUAACCUGCCCCAGACUCUGGAAUAACCCCGGGAAACCGGUGCUAAUACCGGAUAUGACACAGAAUCGCAUGGUUUCUGUGUGGAAAGUUUUUCGGUUUGGGAUGGACUCGCGGCCUAUCAGCUUGUUGGUGAGGUAAUGGCUCACCAAGGCGACGACGGGUAGCCGGCCUGAGAGGGCGACCGGCCACACUGGGACUGAGAUACGGCCCAGACUCCGACGGGAGGCAGCAGUGGGGAAUAUUGCUCAAUGGGCGAAAGCCUGACGCAGCGACGCCGCGUGAGGGACGAAGGUCUUCGGAUUGUAAACCUCUUUCAGCAGGGAUGAAGCGAAAGUGACAGUACCUGCAGAAGAAGCACCGGCUAACUACGUGCCAGCCGCCGCCGUAAGAC